UUUUAAAGGUUGAAACCAUUUGCCCUUCUUUCAGAAAAGUAUAAGCAGAACAAAUUACCAACUACAAUGCCAACAAUGGGGCUGCCAAUCCUUAGAAGAAUGUGAAGGGCUGCCAAUUUCUUGGAAGAGUAAAAUCUCUUAAGACCAAUUUCAAUAAAAUCUUCAUGGUAAGAUCA